rnacentral:tRNA from 1 species
GCGAGCGUGGCGGAAUUGGUAGACGCACUGGAUUUAGGUUCCAGCGCCGAGAGGUGUGAGAGUUCGAGUCUCUCCGUUCGCACCA